rnacentral:rRNA from 1 species
AACUGACGGACUCUUCGGAGGGAAGGAGCGGAAUGAGCGGCGGACGGGUGAGUAACACGUAAGGAACCUGCCUCAAGGAUUGGGAUAACUCCGAGAAAUCGGAGCUAAUACCGGAUAGUUCAUCGGACCGCAUGGUCCGUUGAUGAAAGGCGCUCCGGCGUCACCUUGAGAUGGCCUUGCGGUGCAUUAGCUAGUUGGUGGGGUAACGGCCCACCAAGGCGACGAUGCAUAGCCGACCUGAGAGGGUGAUCGGCCACACUGGGACUGAGACACGGCCCAGACUCCUACGGGAGGCAGCAGUGGUCAUAGCUGGUUUCCUG